rnacentral:ncRNA from 1 species
CUCAACGGGGUGCCGCGUGCGGCUGAGAAAGACCCGUCGAACCUGAUUCGGUUAAUACCGACGUAGGGAUUUGA